CCUACGGGGGGCUGCAGUGGGGAAUAUUGGACAAUGGGGGCAACCCUGAUCCAGCCAUGCCGCGUGUGUGAAGAAGGCCCUCGGGUUGUAAAGCACUUUCAGUGAGGAAGAACGCCUGGUGGUUAAUACCCAUCAGGAAAGACAUCACUCACAGAAGAAGCACCGGCUAACUCCGUGCCAGCAGCCGCGGUAAUACGGAGGGUGCGAGCGUGAAUCGGAAUUACUGGGCGUAAAGCGCGCGUAGGUGGCUUGAUAAGCCGGUUGUGAAAGCCCCGGGCUCAACCUGGGAACGGCAUCCGGAACUGUCGAGCUAGAGUGCAGGAGAGGAAGGUAGAAUUCCCUGUGUAGCGGUGAAAUGCGUAGAGAUCGGGAGGAAUACCAGUGGCGAAGGCGGCCUUCUGGACUGACACUGACACUGAGGUGCGAAAGCGUGGGUAGCAAACAGGAUUAGAUACCCCAGUAGUC
rnacentral:rRNA from 1 species